GCUCUUGUGGCAACACGGGAGCAACCGGCGAACGGGUGCGUAACACGUGAGGAACCUGCCUAGAUGAGGGGGAUAGCCGGCCCAACGGCCGGGUAAUACCGCAUACGCUCUUCGAGGGGAGUCCCUUGAAGAGGAAACCUCCGGGGCAUCUAGAGGGGCUCGCGACCUAUCAGCUAGUUGGUGAGGUAACGGCUCACCAAGGGGAAGACGGGUAGCUGGUCUGAGAGGACGAUCAGCCACACUUUUCCUCCAGACACGNCGAAGACUCUACGGGACGUACGUAGUGGGGUUUCUAGAAAUCUCCUGCAAAUUC
rnacentral:sRNA from 1 species